rnacentral:rRNA from 12 species
GCCUACGGCCAUACCACCCUGAAUGCGCCCGAUCUCGUCCGAUCUCGGAAGCUAAGCAGGGUCGGGCCUGGUUAGUACUUGGAUGGGAGACCGCCUGGGAAUACCAGGUGCUGUAGGCA